rnacentral:rRNA from 1 species
UACGGAGGGUGCAAACGUUGCUCGGAAUCAUUGGGCGUAAAGCGCAUGUAGGCGGACUGUUAAGUCGGAUGUGAAAUCCCUCAGCUUAACUGAGGAAGUGCACUCGAAACUGGCAGUCUUGAGUAUGGAAGAGGGUCGCGGAAUUCCCGGUGUAGAGGUGAAAUUCGUAGAUAUCGGGAGGAACACCAGUGGCGAAGGCGGCGACCUGGGCCAAUACUGACGCUGAGGUGCGAAAGCGUGGGGAGCAAACAGG